rnacentral:rRNA from 1 species
UACGAAGGGGGCUAGCGUUGCUCGGAAUCACUGGGCGUAAAGCGCACGUAGGCGGAUUGCUAAGUCAGGGGGGAAAUCCUGGAGCUCAACUCCAGAACUGCCUUUGAUACUGGCGAUCUUGAGUCCGAGAGAGGUGAGUGGAACUGCGAGUGUAGAGGUGAAAUUCGUAGAUAUUCGCAAGAACACCAGUGGCGAAGGCGGCUCACUGGCCCGGUACUGACGCUGAGGUGCGAAAGCGUGGGGAGCAAACAGG